rnacentral:rRNA from 1 species
AAUCAACGCUGGCGGCGUGCCUCAGACAUGCAAGUCGAACGCGAAAUUUCCCUUCGGGGAGAAAGUAGAGUGGCGCACGGGUGAGUAACACGUAGGUAAUUUGCCUUUGGGUGGGGAAGUAACAGCCGGAAACGGCUGCUAAUACCGCAUAAUGCAGCGGCUCGACAUCGAGACAGUUGUUAAAGCGGGGGAGUCUCGCAAGAGACCUCGCGCCUAAACGAAGAAGCCUGCGGCAGAUUAGCUAGUUGGUAAGGUAAUGGCUUACCAAGGCGACGAUCUGUAACCGGCCUGAGAGGGCGGU